rnacentral:rRNA from 1 species
UCUGACACAGGUGCUGCAUGACUGUCGUCAGCUCGUGUCGUGAGAUGUUGGGUUAAGUCCCGUAACGAGCGCAACCCUUGUCCUAGUUACCAGCACGUUAUGGUGGGCACUCUAAGGAGACUGCCGGUGACAAACCGGAGGGAAGGUGGGGGAUGACGUCAAGUCAUCAUGGCCCUUACGGCCUGGGCUACACACGUGCUACAAUGGUCGGUACAAAGGGUUGCCAAGCCGCGAGGUGGAGCUAAUCCCAUAAAACCGAUCGUAGUCCGGAUCGCAGUCUGCAACUCGACUGCGUGAAGUCGGAAUCGCUAGUAAUCGUGAAUCAGAAUGUCACGGUGAAUACGUUCCCGGGCCUU